rnacentral:rRNA from 1 species
UACGUAGGUGGCAAGCGUUGUCCGGAUUUACUGGGCGUAAAGCGCGCGCAGGCGGAUUGGUCAGUCCGAGGUGAAAUCUCACGGCUCAACUGUGAGAGGUCCUUGGAUACUGCCAGUCUUGAGGGGCUCAGAGGAGAGUGGAAUUCCGGGUGUAGUGGUGGAAUGCGUAGAUAUCCGGAGGAACACCAGUGGCGAAAGCGACUCUCUGGGGGCAACCUGACGCUGAGGCGCGAAAGCGUGGGGAGCGAACAGGAUUAGAAACCCGUGUAGU